rnacentral:rRNA from 1 species
UACGUAGGGGGCAAGCGUUGUCCGGAAUUAUUGGGCGUAAAGAGCGCGUAGGCGGUCCGAUAAGUCGGCUGUGAAAGUCCAGGGCUCAACCCUGGAAAGCCGGCCGAUACUGUCGGACUAGAGUCCGGAAGAGGAGAAUGGAAUUCCCGGUGUAGCGGUGAAAUGCGCAGAUAUCGGGAAGAACACCCGUGGCGAAGGCGGUUCUCUGGGACGGUACUGACGCUGAGACGCGAAAGCGUGGGGAGCGAACAGG